UCUAAACUGCCCUCUUGUUUUGGCUUUAAUAAAAAACAAUUUAUUAAAAUUGAUGCACAGAGGAACCAAUGGCGAGUAUUUCUUGACACUUUUUAGCAACUCGGUAAAAGGGAUGAAAUUGCGUAAAUAUUUAGUAUCCUCGUGUGAAAACAAAGACUGACGUGUUGAAAAGUGAAUUAGAAACAUUAUGAUAACAUGCAGCAUUAUUCAAAUGAUUUGUAAUAUUAGCUGACUCCAUCACCGGCACAUAGAUUGUCUCCUGCUUCAUGCUUUUAAAAAAAUGUAAUUGCAUUUUUUUAAAUAUGUAUUUCAUAGAGCUAAAACUUUAAUUGAAUUUUUAUUAUGGAGAGUAAUUCAAAUGAAAAUAAAAAUACAUUCGCCUGUGAUUAGAAGAUUAGAAUGCAAAAGAUGUAACUCAUGUUACCAAGUGUCCAAAAAGAAAUAUGGGACUGUCAAAUGUCUUUCUGCUGAGCAUCAUCCAUAGUGAUCCCAGAUUUAAGUUUCUAGCUAAAGUUAUCAUGUCUAGCAACUGCUUCAAGUUAAAGGUUUUACCAAAACUGACGCAAAAACGGUUGGGAACCACUAAUCCACAUAGUCAGAAACAGACAGUAAAUAACUAACAGGUCAAUCACUGGCAUGCUGAUUACGUCCAAAAUCUCUCUUUCUAAUGUCUGAAACGAAUUCCACAUCUGCAUAACCUUAGUUUUCCAAGAUCAGUGUCCGAACCUGGCCUUGGUUUACACCACAGAAUACUCCCUAUAUUCUAUGUCGCAAAAGAAGAACAUAAAUGCCACAUUGCUUUGACAUCAACAGUCUCCUGAGUCAGCUCACUAAAAGAUUUUACCCCGAUACAGAAAAACAGAACAUUAGCAUGAUGCAGAAAAGAAACAGGAACAUAAAUUCACUGUACGGCUACAGAUAAAACACUGUGGAACCAAGCAGCUGUGGAUGCUAGUCCUGAACAGAAAGGGUGGAGAACAAAGUCACAAUUAGAGAUGAAAAAGUCCAACGUCAAGAUCUGUAUCGGUUCUGAUGUUUAAAAAAAGCCUCUAGAUUAGUUAUCUGUCACAAUGUGCCUGAACAAUGAGGGCAGAUCUAUUCAGUGUAGUUCUAUACUUUGCCCCCUGAGCGACGUCAUGCCCUGUUGCUUAUUUUACGUUAUAUUUCAGGGUUUUCCUCAAUGUAUUAUCAGUCUGGCUUUACUGCCCCCCAGCCCCCACCAGGCCAAGCAUUGUUUGUUUAUUGUUUAUUUAUUUAUUAUAGGGGUUUUUUCAUGUUUGCCUUUUUAAGAUUUUAUAGUUACUGUUUAGGUAUUGUUAGUAAUGGAUUCCAAUAGCACAAUAUGACCUUGUGAUAUUUUCAAAUUUCCUGUCAACUCUAAACAUUUUUAACUAGAAAAAACGGUAGCGCAAGUUUUCUGGCAGAAACCCUGAAUUUAUAAUUCCCAACCACACUUUCUGAACCAUCUGAAAGAACGACUGUUGCAAUUCAUUUUUAAAUGUUUGACCAUGGUAGUCAACAUAUUGUUUUUGUCACUUUCACUUUCUUUAUUAUUUAUUUUAUAUUGGCUGUAAUGGUGCAUUCAAGUGGGUGAUUUACAUUCAAAGUCUAGGUGGAGGCACGUCGAUGGCCCGUUGCGACACAUUUCAAGCAUCUAGCGUGGUGCGAUUUGAACCGUUUGACGCAUCAAGCCCUUCUGAUGCGUCAGACAAAAUAGGUCGGCAAUGGAAAACAACAGCUAGAGCGAUUUUGACAAGUCUGAUGCACCUCCACAUAGACUUUGAAUGUAAGCCAGAUGUGAACGAAAGAGCGAAACACUAGGUGUAGAGCAAACUGUUAAGCAUUUGCAAUCAAAGUUGUUGUUGCCAGAUCCAUUUAAAUAUUUGAUAAAGAAAUACAUGGAAAUUAUUUCUCUUCACCAAAUAAAUUUAAAAAAGGUGCAGUAAUAUCUAGAAGGACAAGUACAGCUGCCCGUGGUGGUUUCAGUGGAAAAUGUACCAACCCAA